UACCGAGGUCUCAAGCGUUGUUCGGAUUCAUUGGGCGUAAAGGGUGCGUAGGUGGCGGGUUUAGUCAGGUGUGAAAUCUCGGGGCUCAACCCCGAAACUGCACUUGAUACUGCCUUGCUAGAGUACUGGAGAGGAGAUUGGAAUUUACGGUGUAGCAGUGAAAUGCGUAGAUAUCGUAAGGAAGACCAGUGGCGAAGGCGAAUCUCUGGACAGUUACUGACACUGAGGCACGAAGGCCAGGGGAGCAAACGGG
rnacentral:rRNA from 1 species